UGUUUUUAUACGCCCGUAUAAAAUACGGGACGUAUUAUGUGAAACCCCUUGGCGGCGGGCGGCGGGCGGCGGGCGGAAGGCAUCACUUUGUCCGGACUCUAAUUCAAAUUGUAUUCAUCCGAUCUUCACCAAACUUGGUCAGCAGUUGCAUCUAGUUGAUAUCUAGGCCAAGUUCGAAUAUGGGUCAUGCCGGGUCAAAAACUAGGUCAUAGGGUCAAUAAGUGCAUUUUCAAAGGGGCCACUUUGUCCGGACUCUAUUUCAAAUUGUAUUCAUCCGAUCUUCACCAAACUUGGUCAGCAGUUGCAUCUAGUUGAUAUAUAGGCCAAGUUCGAAUAUGGGUCAUGCCGGGUCAAAAACUAGGUCAUAGGGUCAAUUAGUGCAUUUUCAACGGCGCCACUUUGUCCGGACUCUAAUUCAAAUUGUAUUCAUCCGAUCUUCACCAAACUUGGUCAGAAGUUGUAUCUAGACAAUAUCUAGGUCAAGUUCGAAUAUGGGUCAUGCCGGGUCAAAAACUAGGUCACAGGGUCACUUAAACCAUUUCAAGCAUUUAGCAUGGUGUCCGCUCUCUAAUUGAAGUAGUUAUCAUCCGAUCUUCACCAAAUUUGGUCAGAAGUUGUGUCUAGACAAUAUCUACAUGUAGGUCAAG